CGUGACCCCAGGUCAGGUGGGGUUACCUAUUGAAUUUAA
rnacentral:rRNA from 2 species